rnacentral:rRNA from 1 species
AUUGAACGCUGGCGGCAGGCCUAACACAUGCAAGUCGAACGGAGCGGCGGACGGGGGAGGAAUGGCUGGGAAUCUGGCUGGGAGUGGGGGAUAACGUCCGGAAAUGGGCGCUGAUACCGCAUACUUUCAGUUGAGCCUAGGUCGGAUUGGCUAGUUGGUGGGGUAAAGGCCUACCAAGGCGACGAUCCGUAACUGGUCUGAGAGGAUGAUCAGUCACACUGGAACUGAGACACGGUCCAGACUCCUACGGGAGGCAGCAGUGGGGAAUAGUGGACAAUGGGCGAAAGCCUGAUGCAGCCAUGCCGCGUGUGUGAAGAAGGUCUUCGGAUUGUAAAGCACGUUAAGCUGGGAGGCGUUACCAACAGAAUAAGCACCGGCUAACUCCGUGCCAGCAGCCGCGGUAAUAC